rnacentral:rRNA from 1 species
UACGGAGGAUCCAAGCGUUAUCCGGAAUCAUUGGGCGUAAAGCGCCUGUAGGUUGUUUAAUAAGUCUGUUGUUAAAGACUGGGGCUUAACCCCAGGAAAGCAAUGGAAACUACUAGACUAGAGUAUGGUAGGGGUAAAGGGAAUUUCUAGUGUAGCGGUGAAAUGCGUAGAUAUUAGAAAGAACACCGGUGGCGAAAGCGCUUUACUGGACCAUUACUGACACUCAGAGGCGAAAGCUAGGGUAGCAAAAGGGAUUAGAUACCCCUGUAGUCCUAGCCGUAAACGAUGGAUACUAGAUGUUGUAUGUUAUUUACAGUAUCGUAGCUAACGCGUUAAGUAUCCCGCCUGGGGAGUACGCUCGCAAGGGUG